GGUACCUUCAGAGGCCAGAAGAGGGUGUCAAGAUUUCUUGUAACUGGAGGUCGACGUUCGUGAGCUUCCCCAUCUUCAACAUGGCGGACGACGAUCCAUAUGGAACUGGGCAAAUGUUUCAUUUGAAUCCUGCGUUACCUCAUCCAAUAUUUAAUGCAGAAUUAUAUGCACCAGAAAUGCCCCUGUCAACGGAUGGCCCAUACCUUCAAAUAUUAGAGGCAACCAAA